AUAUAUGAUCACUCAAAAUACGAAUUUACGGUAGAAGGCAGAGAUGGAAACACUCUCAUCUUGAAUCAACUCGCGAGUGUAAAACCAACAAAGGGUUUACUCACGGUGCCGAGAGUAAGCCGUGUGUGAGUUUAUUCGCAGCCGCUUGCUUCGCGAGUAUGAAGCAAAAUAAAAACAAAAACACUUAUGAAUUUCUAUUCGCGAAGAAAAAGUGGAGAUGCGGGAAUUGCAUUUUAGAGCGAUUUUAAUAGCAAAACAAGUAAUUAUCCAUCAGAUAGUAGUGUUUUGUGCUUUAUUGUUCCUGAAAAGUAAAUCUGUCGGCCGUGUAAAUUCGUUUUUUUUACAAAAUUGAAAAAUGUUCAGAGCUGCUUCGCGAAUCAAUCACGAGUGCGACCAACUUCGUUAGCUCGCGAGUGAAGGAAGUGCGAAAAUAUUCUGGCUUCUGUUGUUCACGAGUAGGAUAGCUUUACGUUUGUGUCUGCUCAGCUGCAUUCCUCACUGUUUUCCAUCAGCCUUCUACCUCGGAGAUUCGAGUCACAUAUACAAAUCAAUUAAGUACGACCAAAGAAAUGAUGUCUGUAUGUGUAUAGGUACGUAAUGUAUGUAUGUAAGUAUGUAUGUAUUGUCUAAGCGCAAAAAAAGUUCACUCACUUUUAAGGCACUUCCCAUUGGCCGAUUUUACGGAUUAUAGCUCGAAUCGAAUCGGAAUUAUAUCGCAUUGUUGGCUAUUGAUAAGGCGUUCCGAAGUUAUGGCCAUUUUAGUGAACCGGACCAGCACCGGUGAACUGGUCAUAUAUAAAAUGAUCAUCAAUGAAAACCACAAAACCACGAUGUAGGCUAUAAAUUCAAGAUUGCGACCUAAAAUCCAAGAUUGCGGCCAUCAACUAUAACAAACUGUUUUAAGGAGUUUAAGGCUCAAAGACCAUGCAAGAUGGGUUUAAUUGGUAUGUAGAUGUGCUGAGUCAAAAAAUGGUGACCAUAAUAUACAAGGAGGCGGACCACAAUUCAAAAUGGCGGGCCAAAAUUAAAGAUGGAGGCUGUUUUAAGGAGUUUCAGGCUUUUAAGCCAUGUAGUAUGUUAAGCAGAUUUCAGGAGUUCAAAAUCAACGACUAGAAUAUGGUGUCCGACCAUUUGGUCGAAUGCCGUUUGGCCGAAUCAUGAUCGAAAGAAUUCAUAGGAUUUUUUCGACAUUCCAACUACCAAUAUGAUCAGAGGAAAUAUUUCCUUCUUUUAAGCAUAGGCUAUUUUUUUCUAGUUUUGACAUUUUGGGAUUAGUUGGCACUGAAACUGCUAAAAUUUUAUCAAAGAUUAUUCCUUCUUUGAACCAUAGGUUGUUCUUUCAAGUUAUUCUGAUCAGUUAAGUUCAUCAUUCAUUUUUCGACCAAACGGCAUUUGGCCUAAUGGCAUUCGGCCUAAUGGCAUUCGGUCAAAUGACCCUUUCGGCCUCUCGCCGCCAAACGGCAUUCGGCAAUGGUGUUCGGCCAAAUGACCCGGAACCCUUGAAUAUGCAAGAUGGCGACCCAAAAUCCAAGAUGGCAGGAGUUUUAGUUUCUAUGGGUAAUAUUUUAUAUAAAGAUGUCCGAAGAUCAAAAAAGGCAACCAGAAUAUGUAACCGUUCGGUUCCCAGUUUACACUUGCUGGCUCCACCGCAAGUCCUUUUUCCAUCCCCCUCCCGAUUACAACCCUGAAAGUAAAAAUUCAAACACAAACAGAUGGCACUCACUUGUUGAUGACUGGCAAGUGAGUGAGCCUGUUUCAUUUUCCCCUUGUUUCGGACAUGUACGUCAAACGAAAGUCGAACAGUUUGAGCGUGGGUAAAUAGUACUCACUGAUUUCAAAGGAAAUCUGACUCAUAGAUGUCGCUAGAAGAAAACGGAGUUUAGGGUGUGGAAACACUAACAAAUAGUACCGAUGUGUCAAAAAUAGUAAAAAAAAAUAAAAAGAUUGGUAAAAGAGGAAUUUCUCUAUAAAAUCCCCCCAUCUUGGCGGAGGAAAUUCUCUUGUGAAGCUGAUUCUCGAAAAGAAUAGCAGUGCGCGCGUGACUCAAGCAAAUUAUUCGAGAAUCUAUGUGGCAUUUGUUAGUAAAUUGUUGAAAUCAAUUGUUUUGUUAGUACCUACAAACAAUUCGUAUAUUUGAG